AAGCCAUGUCUCUCACUCUGAUGUAACAGUGGGGUGAUUAUUUAUUGGCUCAGUUCCAAAUUCACCUCAUCAGGUGUUCCAGCUCAAUUAAUCAAAAGGAGGAAGAGCACAACGUAUAGCAGGUGUGAGAUGGCUAGGCGUGACUCACACAUGCUCUGUCAUGUCUGCACCCGCUGUAAAAUCUAGGAUUUUCUAAGGACAAAGAUCUCCAGCGACGUCACAUGAGAGAGGUCCCCAGUUCCGCACAGUGAUUCCUGUAAGGAACGGAAACUAACAGUAAACCAGAUGACCUGUACUGGCAUGCUGAACUGGAUUUCGUCUGUGCUUACUCGUCAUGAUUCCAUAUUUGACUUAGGCAUGCAACUCUGCUGUCACAACUUUUGAGAAGCCUGUGAUGUGAAAUUAUGUGUUUGCCCGCCUCAUCUUGAAACACCAAUCUGCACGGUGUGUGCUGACUAGUUUCUGUUCAUAGCGCAGUUUGCCAGGAACAGGAUGCCACAGAAUAUUGUAUUGUAAUACACACAUCAUAAAACUAUCAAAAUUA